rnacentral:tRNA from 1 species
GCCGAGAUAGCUCAGUCG